rnacentral:rRNA from 1 species
AUUGAACGCUGGCGGCAGGCCUAACACAUGCAAGUCGAGCGGAUGAAAGGGGCUUGCUCCUGGAUUCAGCGGCGGACGGGUGAGUAAUGCGCAGGAAUCUACCUCGUAGUGGGGGAUAACGUCUCGAAAGGGGCGCUAAUACCGCAUACGUUCUGAGGAAGAAAGCAGGGGACCUUCGGGCCUUGCGCUAUGAGAUGAGCUUGCGUCCGAUUAGCUAGUUGGUGGGGUAAAGGCCUACCAAGGCGACGAUCGGUAACUGGUCUGAGAGGAUGAUCAGUCACACUGGAACUGAGACACGGUCCAGACUCCUACGGGAGGCAGCAGUGGGGAAUAUUGGACAAUGGGGGCAACCCUGAUCCAGCCAUGCCGCGUGUGUGAAGAAGGCCUUCGGGUU